rnacentral:rRNA from 1 species
GCAUAUCAAUAAGCGGAGGAAAAGAAACUAACAAGGAUUCCCCUAGUAACGGCGAGUGAAGCGGGAAGAGCUCAAAUUUGUAAUCUGGUACCUUCGGUGCCCGAGUUGUAAUCUCGAGAAGUGUUUUCCGCGCCGGACCGCAUACAAGUCUGUUGGAAUACAGCGUCAUAGUGGUGAGAACCCCGUAACUGAUGCGGAUGCCCGGUGCUCUGUGAUACACUUUCGAAGAGUCGAGUUGUUUGGGAAUGCAGCUCAAAUUGGGUGGUAAAUUCCAUCUAAAGCUAAAUAUUGGCGAGAGACCGAUAGCGAACAAGUACCGUGAGGGAAAGAUGAAAAGCACUUUGGAAAGAGAGUUAACAGUACGUGAAAUUGUUGGAAGGGAAACGCUUGAAGUCAGACUUGCUAUUUGGAGUUCAGCCGCAAGGUGUAUUCUUCAAUUUGCAGGCCAGCAUCAGUUUUUGGGGGUGGAAAAGGGCCGAGAGAAGGUAGCAGUUUCGGCUGUGUUAUAGCUCUUGGCUGGAUUCAUCCUUGGGGACUGAGGAACGCAGCGCGCCUUACGGCAUUCCCCUCGGGGUUUUCGCGCUUAGGAUGCUGGUGAAUGGCUUUAAACGACCCGUCUUGAAACACGGACC